rnacentral:lncRNA from 1 species
UUUUUAUUAUUAUUUACUUUUUUUCUUCUUUUUUUUCUACAUGCAAAACAAAUAACAAAAAUUAAAAAAUCAAGUACAAUUAAAAAUUACAAAAUAAACCCCAAAACUCCAGGAAGUUGCUGGGACCAUCCUCUGGGACUUCGCCGGAACAGUGGGGAACAGUGGCGGCGGGUGGACCUCACGCGCCGCCGUGAUAACACCGGAAAAGGUGGUCCGGCUCACCUUCUCCUCCUCUUCUCUUCUCUGCCGGUGGCGACCUGCAAAAUCAACCAAAAAACGCAACACAAGCAGUUGUUUUUCUGUGUUUUUUAGAUCUGUUUUUUAAUUUUUCGUUUUCUGUCCGUGGUUUAUUUUCGUUUCCCCCUUCGUUCUCUGUUUCAAGCGGCUGCUGGCGACUGGAAAGCUGUUGGCGAUCGUGCUCCUGUCGUGUCUGGUCGGCGGAGCUGGAGGAGGAAAAGGUGUUGGCUGAUCGUCGGCUGGUUUCUGUGGGCGCCGCCGUAUGAGGGCAGGUUGCUGUGGAUGAAGCCAGAGGAGGAGACGAUCUGGUUACCGGGGGUCUGGCGACUGUGUCCCCGUUCGGUUGUUGUGAGAAGACCGAAGAAGAAGAUGUCGGGCCUGCUGGGCAGGCUGUGAGAGAUCGGGAAAGAUGGAGACCGAAGGGGGAACAGCCGUUGCUGAUGGCGAAGGAGACGCUGCUUGGCUGAGAGCGAGAGGGUCUUGAUGGCUCUGAAAUGGCCGGCUAUGCAGGCAACAGCCAACCUUUGUUUCUAGGAGAACCGAGAGAGGGAGGCUGUGGAUUGGAGACGGCGCUGCUGGCUUACUGGCGGUGAAAACCGGCUAAAAGGAGAGUGAGGCAGAUGAAUGAGAGGGUGUCCGGUGCUCUCUGGUUCCUGGCCUCAAGAGAGAAGGAAGGGGAUGAGCAGCAGCUAGUUUCUGUGGGUGAGGAAAAGAAACCAAC